rnacentral:rRNA from 1 species
GACGAACGCUGGCGGCGUGCUUAACACAUGCAAGUCGAACGGAAAGGCCCUGCUUUUGUGGGGUGCUCGAGUGGCGAACGGGUGAGUAACACGUGAGUAACCUGCCCUUGACUUUGGGAUAACUUCAGGAAACUGGGGCUAAUACCGGAUAGGAGCUCCUGCUGCAUGGAGGGGGUUGGAAAGUUUCGGCGGUUGGGGAUGGACUCGCGGCUUAUCAGCUUGUUGGUGGGGUAGUGGCUUACCACGGCUUUGACGGGUAGCCGGCCUGAGAGGGUGACCGGCCACAUUGGGACUGCGAUACGGCCCAGACUCCUACGGGAGGCAGCAGUGGGGAAUAUUGCACAAUGGGCGGAAGCCUGAUGCAGCAACGCCGCGUGCGGGAUGACGGCCUUCGGGUUGUAAACCGCUUUCGCCUGUGACGAAGCGUGAGUGACGGUAAUGGGUAAAGAAGCACCGGCUAACUACGUG